UACGGGGGGGGCAAGCGUUGUUCGGAAUUACUGGGCGUAAAGGGCUCGUAGGUGGCCAACUAGGUCAGACGUGAAAUCCCUCAGCUUAACUGGGGAACUGCGUCUGAUACUGGAUGGCUUGAGUUUGGGAGAGGGAUGCGGAAUUCCAGGUGUAGCGGUGAAAUGCGUAGAUAUCUGGAGAAACACCGGUGGCGAAGGCGGCAUCCUGGACCAACACUGACACUGAUGCACGAAAGCGUGGGGAGCAAACAGG
rnacentral:rRNA from 1 species